rnacentral:rRNA from 1 species
CGUAAACAGAGGGAGGCGAAGCCGCGAGGCGGAGCAAAGCCCAAAAAUAACGUCCCAGUUCGGACUGUAGUCUGCAACCCGACUACACGAAGCCGGAAUCGCUAGUAAUCGCAGAUCAGAAUGCUGCGGUGAAUACGUUCCCGGGUCUUGUACACACCGCCCGUCACACCAUGGGAGUCGGAAAUGCCCGAAGUCAGUGGCCCAACCGCAAGGAGGGAGCUGCCGAAGGCAGGUCCGGUGACUGGGGUGAAGUCGUAACAAGGUACC